AUGUGGCCGGCCCAGCUGUCUCAGCAGGAAGUGUUCUCAGGAGAGGACCUCCGGGAGCCGACUGCCCCAGCUCCUGGGAUAAAUGAGCAGCCCGAGGGGCUGGCCUCCAAGCCACCGCUCUUCUGCAGGGCAAGGGGCACAGGCGUGCCCAUGGGAGAGUCCUUUGCAGAAGAACAUGAACGCCCCAGACAGGGCCUUAGCCCUCUGGCUGCUGACAAAUUUCAGUGGGUGCGGCAAGAUAACGAGGUGCAUAUGCGCCUGUGUCCAGGGCUCCAGGGGCUGAAGAGGCGCCUGGGGGCUAGAGCAUCUGUGUGUCUCUGGCAGCGGGGCCUGGGGGCCAGGCAGCGGACGCCUCCCCCGCCCACCUGGUCCUCAUCACCAGGACUGGGGAUCUGGAGCCUCCCGAGCAUUUCAACUUGCAGAGCUGGCUGGACACAUUGCAUGAUGUGGCAGACUGACCUUGGCCUCAUCUCGGGUCUUUUUGAGAGGAAGCUGGAUUUCGAACGUCCCCGCAUCUCGAUGCCUCGCCUGGAAGUGCUGCUGCUGUGCCAACACUUUGAAGCUGAGUCUUAG
rnacentral:lncRNA from 1 species